rnacentral:rRNA from 1 species
GAUGAACGCUGGCGGCGUGCCUAAUACAUGCAAGUCGAGCGAACGGACGAGAAGCUUGCUUCUCUGAUGUUAGCGGCGGACGGGUGAGUAACACGUGGAUAACCUACCUAUAAGACUGGGAUAACUUCGGGAAGCCGGAGCUAAUACCGGAUAAUAUUUUGAACCGCAUGGUUCAAAAGUGAAAGACGGUCUUGCUGUCACUUAUAGAUGGAUCCGCGCUGCAUUAGCUAGUUGGUAAGGUAACGGCUUACCAAGGCAACGAUGCAUAGCCGACCUGAGAGGGUGAUCGGCCACCCUGGAACUGAGACACGGUCCAGACUCCUACGGGAGGCAGCAGUAGGGAAUCUUCCGCAAUGGGCGAAAGCCUGACGGAGCAACGCCGCGUGAGUGAUGAAGGUCUUCGGAUCGUAAAACUCUGUUAUUAGGGAAGAACAUAUGUGUAAGUAACUGUGCACAUCUUGACGGUACCUAAUCAGAAAGCCACGGCUAACUACGUG